GGAGGGAUCAUUAACACUAUUUGGCUAGCAUUGUUGAGUAUCUCGCAAGAGAGAAAACAUAAUGGUAGUUCAAAUUUUCACACACCUGUCGAACUAGGUUACUUCGGUAACCAAUCCCUCUGUUUCAAGUAUUAGGUUGUAACUGUGACGAAGUGAGCUCUCUCUGUGUUUCCCUUUCGGGGGAAGCAUGGAAACGGCAACUUUACAACUAUGACUUGAGAUGGUAAUUUUUUGGGGACACCACACUUCAGGUGUCUCGACCCCUUUAGCCUUUUUUUUUCACCACCGUAAGCCAUUCGACUGAUUUAAAGAAGCAAAUUGAAAGGUUUGUCUUCUUCAAGAUAACUAAACUAAGCACAACUCUUAGCAACGGAUAUCUUGGUUCUCGCAACGAUGAAGAACGCAGCGAAAUGCGAUAUGUAAUGCGAAUUGCAGAAUUCAGUGAAUCAUCAAAUCUUUGAACGCAAAUGGCGCUCUCGGGAUAGACCCAAGAGCACGCCUCUCUCAGUAUCGGUGAAUCUUUAUCUCUCAACUCUCUUGCUUGCCAAGGGUGUCUGAGGAAAAUGAGAGUCUUCUGAAUGAACACGCAAGUGUUCGAUUGGAAGUCUUUUGAAAUUCACUUGUAACGAGUCGCUUUCAAUCUCUCCUGGUACUUUCUCAAAUCGUUAUUGACUUGAGAAUAGCUUUCGUAGCUAUUUAUUGUAUUAGUGACGUGGAUAAAUUGAAACGUCUGCUAACUGUGGUAAAUACUUAAGUGAACUUCUAGGAAAAUGAAAACGCAUAAAUUAAUCGAACGACUGCGCUACCUCGGUGGACAGUCAAGUAGACAAAAUUUUUCUCAUUCGAUCUGAGAUGAAGCGAGACUACCCCCUGAAUUUAAGCAUAUUAUUAAGGGGAGGACAAGAAAAUAACAAUGAUCACCUUAGUAACGGCGAGUGAAGCGGUGAUAGCUCAAAUUGAAAAUCCAAGAUCUAAACAGGUCUUUGGAAUUGUAUCCUAGUCGACGUGCUAUCAGCGUGUGACUCAAGUACAAGUCCUUUGGAAAAAGGCAUCAAAGAGGGUGAGAAUCCCGUCUCUGACUUGAGCAAUACAAUUCACCGCGUACGAUGCAUGUUCAUCGAGUCGAGUUGUUUGGGAUUGCAGCUCUAAAUGGGAGGUAAGUUUCUUCUAAAGCUAAAUAUAGGCGAGAGACCGAUAGCGAACAAGUACCGUGAGGGAAAGAUGAAAAGAACUUUGAAAAGAGAGUUAAAAAGUACUUGAAAUUGCUAAGAGGGAAGCGCUAGAAACCAGUGUAUUGUACCAUUAUCAUUUUGCCUAUUGAGAAGGGAGUCGCAGCGUGUCCAGUUGGUAACUCUGGUAUCGUUGUGUAUUUUUGUAUCAGUGGGUCCUGUGAUGGUGGGAUGUCAGAAUGAGUUAGAAUUGCAGGAGAAGCUAUUGGGAAAGGUAGGGUAGUAGCAAUACUAUCUGUUAUAGUCCUGGUAGAAUACUGUGGUUUUGACUGAGGAACUUCAUGGUGCGCCACUAGGCAUGGGACGCUGUCUCUAACGAGUCACUCUUGUUCUAUGACAAUGUCAUAUUGUGAGGGUUGGUUUGUUACUGGGCGGUACUCUCAUUUGCAUCGUAUGUUGAUUCUGACUAAAUGGUUUCUAUCGACCCGUCUUGAAACACGGACCAAGGAGUCUAACAUAUAUGCAAGUAUUUGGGUGGUAAACCCUAUAAUGCGCAAUGAAAGUAAAGGCAGCUUGCUGCUGUGGUAGGAAACCUAAUGCCUCGUGCAUGGGUGGCACUAUCGACCGAUCCUCACUUGUGAGCCGAUUUGAGUAAGAGCAUAUCUGUUGGGACCCGAAAGAUGGUGAUCUAUGCCUGAACAGGGUGAAGCCAGGAGAAAUUCUGGUGGAGGCUCGUAGCGAUACUGACGUGCAAAUCGUUCGUCUGAUUUGGGUAUAGGGGCGAAAGACUAAUCGAACCAUUUAGUAGCUGGUUCCCUC
rnacentral:misc_RNA from 1 species